GACGAACGCUGGCGGCGUGCCUAAUACAUGCAAGUAGAACGCUGAAGCGAGGAGCUUGCUCUUCUUGGAUGAGUUGCGAACGGGUGAGUAACGCGUAGGUAACCUGCCUUGUAGCGGGGGAUAACUAUUGGAAACGAUAGCUAAUACCGCAUAACAAUGGCUGACACAUGUCAUUUAUUUGAAAGGGGCAAUUGCUCCACUACAAGAUGGACCUGCGUUGUAUUAGCUAGUAGGUGAGGUAAUGGCUCACCUAGGCGACGAUACAUAGCCGGCCUGAGAGGGUGGUCCGCCACAAUGGGACUGAGACACGGCCCAGACCUCUACGGGAGGCAGCAGUAGGGGAACUUCGGCCAUGGGGGGAACCCUGACCGCGCAACGCCGCGUGAGUGAAGGAGGUUUUCGGAUCGUAAAGCUCUGUUGUAAGUCAAGAACGAGUGUGAGAGUGGAAAGUUCACACUGUGACGGUAGCUUAACAGAAAGCGACGGCUAACUACGUG
rnacentral:rRNA from 1 species